UACGUAGGGCGCAAGCGUUGUCCGGAAUUAUUGGGCGUAAAGAGCUCGUAGGCGGCUUGUUGCGUCGGUUGUGAAAGCCCGGGGCUUAACCCCGGGUCUGCAGUCGAUACGGGCAGGCUAGAGUGUGGUAGGGGAGAUCGAAUUCCUGGUGUAGCGGUGAAAUGCGCAGAUAUCAGGAGGAACACCGGUGGCGAAGGCGGAUCUCUGGGCCAUUACUGACGCUGAGGAGCGAAAGCGUGGGGAGCGAACAGG
rnacentral:rRNA from 1 species